rnacentral:rRNA from 1 species
GCGAGUGAGCGGCAAGAGCUCAAAUUUGAAAGCUGGCUCCUUCGGGGUCCGCAUUGUAAUUUGCAGAGGAUGCUUCGGGUGCAGCCCCCGUCUAAGUGCCCUGGAACGGGCCGUCAUAGAGGGUGAGAAUCCCGUAUGGGGCGGGGUGUCUGCGUCCGUGUGAAGCUCCUUCGACGAGUCGAGUUGUUUGGGAAUGCAGCUCUAAAUGGGUGGUAAAUUUCAUCUAAAGCUAAAUACUGGCCGGAGACCGAUAGCGCACAAGUAGAGUGAUCGAAAGAUGAAAAGCACUUUGAAAAGAGAGUUAAACAGCACGUGAAAUUGUUGAAAGGGAAGCGCUUGCAACCAGACUCGCUCGCGGGGUUCAGCCGGGCUUCGGCCCGGUGUACUUCCCCGCGGGCGGGCCAGCGUCGGUUUGGGCGGCCGGUCAAAGGCCUCCGGAAUGUAGCGCCCUUCGGGGCGCCUUAUAGCCGGGGGUGCAAUGCGGCCAGCCUGGACCGAGGAACGCGCUUCGGCACGGACGCUGGCAUAAUGGUUGUAAACGACCCGUCUUGA